rnacentral:rRNA from 1 species
UACGUAGGGUGCAAGCGUUAAUCGGAAUUACUGGGCGUAAAGCGUGCGCAGGCGGUUGUGCAAGACCGAUGUGAAAUCCCCGGGCUUAACCUGGGAACUGCAUUUGUGACUGGCGGGCUAGAGUAUGGCAGAGGGGGGUAGAAUUCCACGUGUAGCAGUGAAAUGCGUAGAGAUGUGGAGGAAUACCGAUGGCGAAGGCAGCCCCCUGGGCCAAUACUGACGCUCAUGCACGAAAGCGUGGGGAGCAAACAGG